GGUAGCUCGUCGGGCUCAUAACCCGAAGGUCAUAGGUUCAAAUCCUGUCCCCGCUACCA
rnacentral:tRNA from 1 species